UCUCAGUUAACUCCUAUACAGCACACUGUGGCCGGUCGUGGUCAAUGGCGAUUGCACCCCCUCCAGGAUUACUUCCUAUCCUGCAGUGGCUGGUUAAAAACUACAGUUCCCAGAAUGCCUUGCAGCUUAUAGUCCUCGUGUGAUUUUGAUUCAUCCAUUUGGAAGUCAGAACCGGAACUCCUCACUGAGCUAAGUAGGGUGAUACGGAGUUUGAAGUGUGCUAUUCGGUUUUCUGAUAUAUACCCAGAUGGUCUAACAGUUUGACUCUGGAGUCAGCGGUGGUAAUGGCAGAUUUCAAAUCUCUUCGUUUCCCGUGUUCUUGGACUACUCCUGUGGUGAUGUGAUCCUGCGUUCAGAAGUUUGGACAGUGGCCUCCUGUUUCCCCCGCUUUCUGACUGGCAGAUAUCCAACACUGCUGCCGAAGGGCCGCCAUCUCUAUUAACCCCUAGGAAAGGCAAUUCUCUCAAGACACUGGAGUCUACCUGACGAGGUUCCCUUCCCGAGACACUGCUGGAGACUUGGCUUUAUGUUCAGAAGCUAGCAGAAUUCCAAUGAAGCUGAUACCUUGCCAUUUCCACCUUUGAGGAUGCCUUGCAGCCCCUUAGGGUCCCCUAAAGCAACCCAAGGCUUGUGUUAUCCUUUGGGAGAUACCUGUGAGAAUCACAUUGGGUCAUCACCUCCGUUAUCUCAUACUUAUAGAGAUCCAGCUCUGGCUAUGCCUGGUUCGGCUAUUCCUCAGUUGCUGCAAGAAAGAUGUGUUGCUUGGAUUCCAUCCACCAUGCUCCAGAGAAGGAGGUAGAAGCAUAUAAUAAAAAGGCAACACUUCUUGGAGAUUUCUUGGGGGGAAUCCCACACUUCUGGAACUCUUUCAGCAUCUAGAGAUCUGAUCCAUUUGAUCUGGGGACGAGUGUUGCCUAAGGAGAUUGCCCAGCUGUGGUUCUGCCUACCUAAGCCUUCAUUUGGGUUUUCCUCUUCCAUCCAGAUCCCCAGGUGUGCUACAUCAUCUCACAAGGACACACAGUAUCACACUCUCUAUGCUUGAAAGAAGAGCAGCACAGAAACUCACUCUGUGAUUACCUUGUUGACCUCAUUCUGAGUCUCUGGAUUGGCUAGAACACCUGCAGGUGUCUCCUAUGGCUGGCGGCUGGAAUCUGGCUUUCAUCAGUGCUAAAGACCCAACCUCAGGAAGCCCUGCAAAAAGAAUCAGGUGUUGGAGUCUAGCAGUCAUGAACCCUAUUUUGUUCAGAUGGCAAGGAGCUGGUAUUACCAAGGAUGGCAUCUGUAGCAGCUGAUGUGUCCAAGUUAGCCUCUGAAGGAAAAGGGUUGACUUUCCUCCACCAUUGGGAUGUGCAGGGAUUUGGGAAAGAUGAGCUAACCUCUCUUGAGUUUCACCAUCUGUAAAAUGAGGAUGAACGAAUUUGCCUUGAGCCAGUGAGAUGGCUCAGUGAGUAAAAGCUCUUGCAGCUAAGCCUGAAGACCCGAGUUCCAUCCCUAAGAACUGACUCAUGCAAAUUGUCCUCUGACCUCCAAAUGUGCAUCAUGAUGCUCACGUGCACUCAAGCAUGCACUCAUACACACUAAAUAAGUAAAUAAACAAAAAAAACGUAGUAACAAAACUAAUCUGUGCUGGAGACUUCAUUACCCUUCAUUGUUCCGGAAUCUCAAUGUUCUCUGAACAUUAGAUGGUACAUAGCUGGCUUCUUGUUUUAAUAGUAAAACAGCAUGGUUAUUAAGCCGACUUUCUUAUCUAGGUGUUCACCCAAGUGAAAUUUGCCUCAUCAGAGUACAAGGACAUUUUCAGGAGAUGGAUUUACAAAUGAGCUGAAGAGGUUUCAGCCAUACUACCUGUGAUGUACUGUUUCUCCAUCUUUGGAUGCAGAAUAGCCGUUCAGGCCAUUAAGAAAGUAACAUGCAUGCAUGCACACACAUGAACUUCAACUGACAGCACAAUACAGCAGGAGGGAAGCAGGGACCCAUGAAGGACCUAUUUCAUGAACAUAAAUGGUCACCUACCAUUUGUCCCAACUUUAUGAAGUUGUCACAAGCCCCUCUCUUCCCCACUUUACUCAAGUUUACAUGAGAGGAGUCACGGCACAGACGAUCUGAAAUGCUACCUGCCUCCUCUGCUUCAGUUUACCAAAGAAAGACCUUGGACAGGCUUGAACCAGACACCUCGCUAGUCUGUGAGCCCCACUGUGACAGCCACGUGAUUCCUAAGCACAUCACCACUCCUCCUUAGGACAACAAUGAUUACUUUCCAUAAAUAAAUUAUUAUGUUUCGGCAUUAAGAUGGAAGGCUUCCAAUAAGUAACUCUACUGGGUUCCCAAAACUCUGAGCUUUUACUGUGGUUAUACUCAUUUCACAGAGAUAACAUUGAAGCUUACGACUUUAAUAACCUAUUCAGAUCUACCGAGGCAGUUGAUAAUUAGCAGAAGGGAGAUGCAAACCUAAGCCUUCCUGAACUGUGACCCCUUGUCUGGACCAAGGAUGUCAAUGACAUGUGUGUUUCUGAGGAUACUAGGCUGUUAAGAAAGAAGGAGAUGGAUAAAAGAUGUUUAAGAGAAAGGGGCUUGGCCAGUUUUCUUACACUUCAUACAAUGAACCAUGCUGAGUUCACAGUCUGCUUCAAGUCUCUUUUCCCUGAGAUGAGGGCAGAUCAAACCACAAUAUCCCCCAUUCAUUCAUUCAUGACUUGAGUUAGACAAAUCUGGGUCUGUUCAAUGAAAAUACAAGAUUAAAUAAGACCUGGUUUCUACUCUGAGUAAGCUCACCAUCUGAUGAGGGGGAAAAGACUUAUAAAUUAAUUAUUAGACUCCAUAUAAUAAAUGCUCCCUGGUGGAUGGAAAUACUGUGGAGUCAAGGGGAAGAACAACUGGGGGGGAAAAAAGAGCCUGAAGCAACAGAAAGAGCUUGGAACCAACUUUGAAAGACAGCAAAACAACUGGAUGUGAUUCUUAUCUCUGUGACCUUGAACCAGUUGAAAUGCUUUGAGCUGUACCGUUUUUUUUGUGCAGGAAAACAGCGUCAAUUGAACAGCGUGACCAACCCUGAAAGAACUGCACAGGGGAUUAAAUGGGUUAACAUAAGCGAAAACAUUGCCAUUCAUCAGCAAAAUGGCCAAGCUGGAAAAUACAGAUGAACCGAGUGUGUAGAGGCAGAAAGGCAAUGCAAAGAGUUCUGUGAUAUGGGAUUAUGUAGCAGUGUAAUAAUAUAGAUGUGGCUGCUACAGAAAAUGCGCUGUCUUGGGACUUUGAAAUCACCAGCCAUGCUUCAAGGGAACAAAUCUCUCCAUAUGGUUUUGAGGAGAACACACAAAAAAAAUAUUUUCCAGCCACUUUCAGAUAUAAUUCCUCCUUAGGUAGGAGGGAAAAGAGGAUAACUAUCCAUCAGAUCUCAGAGAAAUCGAUCAACUCGCACGUGUCUGCCGAUCCGGCCAUGUGCCCAUCACUAUGUUUGUUUCUGUGCAGAACGUCACACGAGGUAGCUGGGGAAGAAAGAACCAUGCACACUGAAUAAUUAACAGCCUUCGUGGAGGAGGUGGCAAGACCUUAAAGGAAGGCUAAGAUUCAAAGGAGAGGGUGAGGAAGAUGAAUGAAGGGGAAGGGAGGAGCAGGUGAAAGGCGUGAUAAAGACAAUGAAGGAAAGGUGAAGAGUGAGAAGAGAGAACAGGAACCGCACAUAGAAACAGUAUUAGAGAGAGAAGGACCCAAGUGGGCCUGAGCCUGAAAGGCUACAUGGAGGCUAAACAUCUGGAUGAAGCCAAAUUAUGAUCUAGAUUGAGGAAUCUGGGUCUGACGCUUGUGUGACUUGGUCAGUGACAGGGCAUUGCCACAGAAGAAGGAAUGCAAUCUGACUGACAAUUGGGGGAAACAACAAACAGGAAAUAGUUCUGAUCAGACCGUGGCAUCUAAAAAAGCUAAAGAAGGUUACUGAAGGAAUACAUUUUGUGAGUUAAAAGUGGAAGAUCCCUGGAGACACUAAGUCUCAAGCAAGAAAGUCACUCAGGAGGCUGGUGUGUACCAUCCAGGAAGGAAUGUGGUGGCUGGUGGCUGUCAGGGAUGGAUGGAGAGAUCAGCCAGAGAGAGGCACACCUUCAUCAAGUCUCAGCGGCUGAGGGACACUGGCUUGCUUGCCCCCAUGGUAGGCAAGAUCAGAACCGACCUUCAGGUUUUGGAGUGACAGUUGAGAGGUGCGAUUUGGUGAAGCAAGACAGCUGAAGAGAAAUAGUGCCCACACAAAUGUUAGGAAUCGCCUCAGAGGACCUGGGACGGCUGAGAAUCUAAGAGUUACUUCUGCCUCAAGGGUCUCCCGCGUUUUUGUAAUGCCAAGGACAGAAAAGGACAAGAGAGUGCUACCGUCCCAGCCCCAGGCAUUGUGCCUGCGGUGGAGGUCUCUGCCCAAGGCGGACGCCAGGGGUCAGUGCAGGCCCAGCUUCCCCAGCUGGAGCAUCGCCGAGGUCUCCUGCCUUCAGCGAGUGUUCAUUACGGGAAAGAAUUUAAGAGAACUCUAAAUGGCAGAUUCGUUUAUGAUAGCAGCAUUUACAGGCAGUUGUAAUUAUAGUGUAUGGAAAACAAUUAUUCCCUCCUAAAAUUGCUCUUUUAAUUUUCUCUUAUUUGUCCCACAGUGAAUGUUAAAUAAGCCUCAUUGCCUUGCAGACAGCCUCCGAUAUGUGCACAGAGAGAAGCUCCUAAGCACACACCACACUGUAACCUGCACACGCGCACACUCAUUCCUAGUAUACAUGAUAGGCAAGCUCUGAAAAGCACACGGGUCCAGUCAAUAGCUUCCCACUACAGCCCCAUCCCAAGCACAGUUCAGGGAUGCCAUGUGGGAAACUCCUCCCCAUCCAUCAGAACAGGCCUCAGGAGGCACUACUCAGUGAACCCUUCCUCUCCCUCCUGAGUCCCAGACAAGUCUUUGCAGCUCCAAACUGUAUUGCACCGUGUUUCUGGGCAGACAUCUUCACCUCACAAACUUUCAUCCACUCCUUUGUCUACACUCCUCUCUUUACAUAUAAGAUUCUUAAGCCACAAAGUUCUUGCUUUUUUUUUUUUUUUUUUUAUCACCAGUCUCCUAACACUUGGCCAGUGGGAAAGCCUGUUACUGGUCCCUGUCUCUGCCGAUGGCUCAAGAUAGUGUGCUCCCGAAGGAAGCCACAAAUUGAAUAUCUUCCCAAAAUGUUAGUUUGCAAGGAGCUGUGUUUUCACUUCCAACCUCUACCAAGGAGAGUAGAAAACCAGUCAAGGUCCAGGGCUGAAUGCAUCUUUGUGGAGACUUCAGUCACAUUGUGGAACCCUGACCAAAAUGGAUCCUAUUUCAAAGUGUCUUGGACCUUAGUGAGGUUUCAAAGACUUGGGGCUCAACAGAGGUCUCCAAUCGUCCUUGAGGAGAAAACAAAUGUCUUUAAACUCAGACUGUGGGACAGAGAGGUGGGAAUGGGAAACAAAACACAUCUUCACAGUCAAGGACCAAUGACCCUUAUUAAAUGGAUUAGGCGGUGACAUUACAUGGGUUCUCGGGCCAUUUUAGAGUGGUUAAUGUUGGCGGAUGGAGGCCAAGCUCUAUUAAGGAAGGAUGUGGAAGUCUGUCCCCCUGAUUUAAAAGUUUGCAUUGGAGGAAGGAUGUUUGCAAUUUUCGUGAAGUCUUACUGUUAAUUGGUUGUCUUGGCCUUGAAAUGGUCUUGAUUGUUAAGUAGUUCUCUCUUUUCACACAAGGAGAGAGAAAGCAGGAGGAAGGAAUUUCAUGUGAGGGACAGAAAAAAAUGAAAAUGAUACUGAUGCCAAGUGAACCGUCUGUUGGAUGUUUGAUGUUGGCAGGCUGGACUCUUCUCUAUUCAUCCAUGUUCUCUCUGUCUUGGCUCAAAUGCUUAAGGGACUUCUGAAUCUCUUUGUUUCCUGUUUCUACCACAAAUGUAUAAAAUAGUCCCAAGAAUGCCUGCCAUUUCAUAUCCAAGUCUUUUUUUUUUUUUUCUUGUUUGUGCUGCUAUAACAAAGUACCAUAGACUCAGUAGCUCACAUACAAUAAAAAGUUUAUUUCUCACAGUUCUGGAAGCUGAGAUAUCUGACAUCAACUACCACAUUAGUUGUCUGGCUCCUUAGAGACAGUGCUUUUCACUUGUUCUCACAGGCAGGGAGAUCAGCAAACUUCCUGGCACCUCGUUUAGAAGGGUACUGUCAACUGUCAUUGACCUGUGCAAAUCUGUCUGCAAGUGCUGAGAUUUGAGGACCUUAAGGAAUGGGGUGGACUACAGUUUAAUGCUUUACUUCAGUUUCAGUGUACUUCUAAACAUGACUGUAACAAAGAAAGCAACAAUCCAGGGAAGGUUGCUUGAGUUUGGAAAAAGAUGAAAGUAAACGUCAGUAAGCACAUACUAAAUAUUAACAGAGCAGCCCUUCCCGGAACUUUCUCAGGACAGACCAAUUUGAACACAAUGCCUGGCAUAGACUAUAGAAGGCCAUGUCCAGAUACAGGAUACACUGAGGGCAGCACUCAGGACAUCCUUUUCGCAAGACUGAGCUCUAUAUGUAAGUUCCUACAGGCACUAAUCCCAUUUAUGAGGGCCUUGCCCUCAUGACACAAUCUCUCCAAAUAUUGUCUGAUUGGUGAUUAGGAUUCAACACAGGAAUGUGUGGGCAUGGAGCUGAGGAAAGAAUAGUCAUUCCCAUCAUUGUACCCAGUGCUCAUAAGGUUGCAGAAUACAGGCCUGAGUUUUCAUCCUCCAUCUGUCUUAAAAGUCCCAUGAAGAAAACCAAAGGUGUUAGAAGAUAGACACAAUGUCUUGUUAAGCAUAGAUUCUAGGACUUCCAUAAGCAGUGUUUCUUAGAAAAACAUGUGUUUGAAAGUUGAAAAAGAACUAAAAUGUAUAGAAACAUAGACAAUGUAGUCUUGUAUAUUCUUAAAUUAUUUGUACACAAAAAUAUAUAAAGUAUGUAAAUGUGUUACAUGUAUUUACAUUUUACUAAACUAUUUG
rnacentral:lncRNA from 1 species